UCGAUCAUGGCUCAGAUUGAACGCUGGCGGGAUGCUUAUAUGUGGGUCGAACGCAGCACGGACUUCAUUCAGGCGAGUGGCGAACGGGUGAGUAAUGUGUAUCGAACGUGCCUAGCAGGGGGAGCAUCACAAAGAAAGGUAGCUAAUACUGCAUAUUGCCCUUCGGGGGAAAGCGGGGACCUUCGGGCCCCUCGCACCACAGAGCGGCCGAUAUCGGAUUAGCGAAGUUGGUGGGUAACGGCUCACCAAGGCGACGAUCCGUAGCUGGUUUGAGUGACGACCAGCCACACUGGGACUGAGACACGGCCCAGACUCCGCAUGGAGGCAGCAGUGGGGAAUUUUGGACAAUGGGGGGAAACCCUGAUCCAGCCAUCCUGGUCAAAAAGCGAGCGAAGGCCUUCGGGUUGUAAAGCACUUUUGGCAGGAGUAAAGAAACGGCACGGAUAAUACCCUGUGCAACUGACGGUACUUGCAGAAUAAGCACUGGCUAACUACGUGCCAGCAGCCGCGCGGUAACAUGUAGGGUGCAAGCGUUAAUCGGAAUUACUGGGCGUAAAGCGUGCGCAGGCGGUUCGGAAAGAAAGAUGUGAAAUCCCAGAGCUUAACUUUGAACUGCAUUUUUAACCACGAGCUAGAGGUGUCAGAGGGAGUGUGAAUUCGCGUAGCAGUGAAAUGCGUAGAUAUGCGGAGGAACACUGAUGGCGAAGGCAGCCUCCUGGGAUAACACUGACGCUCAUGCACGAAAGCGGGAGCAAACAGGAUUAGAUAAUUCUAUAGUCCACGCCCUAAACGAUGUCAACUAGCUGUUGGGCCUUCGCCUUGGUAGCGCAAAGAACGGUGUGAAGUUGACCGCCUGGGGAGUACGGUCGCAAGAUUAAAACUCGACGGGGACCCAGCAGCGCGGGGGAUGAUGUGGAUUAAUUCGAUGCAACGCGAAAACCUUACCUACCCUUGACAUGUCUGGAAUCCUGAAGAGAUUUGGGAGGCUGCAAGAGGUCCGGAAUGACAGGUGCUGCACACAAGCUGUCGUCACCGUAAGUCGUAGAUGUUGGGUUAAGUCCCGCAACGAGCGCAACCUCUGUCAUUAGUUACAUGAAAGGGCACUUUAAUGACUGCCGGUGACAAACCGGAGGAAGGUGGGGACAUCGGCCAAGUCCUCAUGGCCCUUGCGGGUAGGGCUUCAAGACGUCAUACAAUGGUCGGGACAGAGGGUCGCCAACCCGCGAGGGGAGCCAAUCCCAGAAACUGAUCGUAGUCCGGAUCGCAGUCUGCAACUCGACUGCGUGAAGUCGGAAUCGCUAGUAAUCGCGGAUCAGCAUGUCGCGGUGAAUACGUUCCCGGGUCUUGUACACACCGCCCGUCACACCACAGGAGUGGGUUUUACCAGAAGGAAGGGCCUAACUGUAAGGAGGGCGAUUACCACGGUAGGAUUCAUGACUGGGGUGAAGUCGUAACGAAGGUAG
rnacentral:rRNA from 1 species